AUUUAUCGCUGCAGGAUAGACAUGCGUAUGAUUAGGUAGUUGGUAGGGUAAAGGCCUACCAAGCCGAUGAUCAUUAGGGGGCCUGAGAGGGUGAACCCCCACACUGGUACUGAGACACGGACCAGACUCCUACGGGAGGCAGCAGUGAGGAAUAUUGGACAAUGGGUGAGAGCCUGAUCCAGCCAUCCCGCGUGCAGGAAGACGGCCCUAUGGGUUGUAAACUGCUUUUGUAUAGGAAUAAACCACCUUACGUGUAAGGUGUUGAAGGUACUAUACGAAUAAGCACCGGCUAACUCCGUGCCAGCAGCCGCGGUAAUACGGAGGGUGCAAGCGUUAUCCGGAUUUAUUGGGUUUAAAGGGUCCGCAGGCGGGCCUGUAAGUCAGGGGUGAAAGCCGGCAGCUUAACUGUCGAACUGCCUUUGAAACUGCAGGUCUUGAGUGAAAUUGAAGUAGCUGGAAUGAGUAGUGUAGCGGUGAAAUGCAUAGAUAUUACUCAGAACACCAAUAGCGAAGGCAGGUUACUAAAUUUCAACUGACGCUGAGGGACGAAAGCGUGGGGAGCGAACGGGAUUAGAUACCCUGGUAGUCCACGCCGUAAACGAUGGAUACUGUCUGUUGGAUUGUAAGAUUCAGUGGAUAAGCGAAAGUGAUAAGUAUCCCACCUGGGGAGUACGUUCGCAAGAAUGAAACUCAAAGGAAUUGACGGGGGCCCGCACAAGCGGUGGAGCAUGUGGUUUAAUUCGAUGAUACGCGAGGAACCUUACCAAGGCUUAAAUGUAUAAUGACCGGACUGGAAACAGGCCUUUCUUCGGACAGAAUGCAAGGUGCUGCAUGGCUGUCGUCAGCUCGUGCCGUGAGGUGUCAGGUUAAGUCCUAUAACGAGCGCAACCCCUAUCACUAGUUGCCAGCGUUUCAAGACGGGGACUCUAGUGAGACUGCCAACGCAAGUUGCGAGGAAGGUGGGGACGACGUCAAGUCAUCACGGCCCUUACGCCUUGGGCCACACACGUGCUACAAUGGCCGGUACAGAGGGCAGCUACUAUGUGAAUAGAUGCGAAUCUCGAAAGCCGGUCUCAGUUCGGAUUGGAGUCUGCAACUCGACUCUAUGAAGCUGGAAUCGCUAGUAAUCGCAAAUCAGCCAUGUCGCGGUGAAUACGUUCCCGGGCCU
rnacentral:rRNA from 1 species